ACAGAUAUGCCGGAACAGGAAGACGGGCUAUGUUUAGGCCAUAGUAUCGAAAGAUGUGCAAGUUCGACCCUUGUUAUCUGUA
rnacentral:tRNA from 1 species